AUUGGACCUAUAGGGGAAACGGAAGUGCAACGAUAAGAAGGAAUAAGAAGAAGAUGGUUGGUGUUCGGCGGUGUGGUUAACGUGUAACGUUAUAGAAGCAUUUGAAGAUGCUGGAAAAACUUGGGAAGCUGUAAUGGGAACUCCAGGCCAUUCAGCAGCUGCAACUACUGAAGGUCUGUAGUCCUUCCAGAUGGAACAUGAUGGGUGUACAUUUUCAUUACAUCCAGUCAGUUUUACAGAUAAUUAAGAGUGAGUGCCAGUACUGCUGGAGCAGCAACUAACCAUGAUGUACACCUGCAAUAUUGACAACGGAACAGGUCAUGGUAAGGGCACCACGUGUCAGCAGAGGCUUCAUGGCAACAUCUUGACAUCCCACUGAAACCCAGUAGAACAAUCAGGGUGAGAACACUUUUAAAGCAGCUUUCUACUCAACAAGAGGUCCUAUUGAGGGAUUUUUGUUGUGUUACAUACAUUGCUUCUUGGAUGGAAGAGGAGAUGCAGUUUCAUGCCUUUUGGAGUUGCUGUUAACUCUGCUGUAGCUGCAAUUACGGCAUCUUUAUUGGCUGGUUGCCCAUACAAUCUGUGAGUGACUUGCGUUCACAUGUGCCGAAGGUGUUACAUUUCCUUUCUCACCGAGACCCUGCUCCAAUUGUGGGAAGACGUUUAGCACCCAGAUGACAUCAACCAAAAUAACAUAGCACAUAUUACCAGGAAGCAGUACCAACUUAACUAUUACAGGUAUGUUUGGAAUCGUGCAGCAUGCAUAUUUUCUUUCUGGUCCAUCCACAUGCAAGAAGCAUAGAGCCACUAAACCGAUUUUUAUGGAACUUCAUAUUGAAGAAGGUUCAGUUUUCACAUAUAUCAGAGACAGUUUCACGUGAGGACUUAUAUAUUGUUUCUGCAUAUUGUAUACAGUAUAUAUUGAAAGGGUAAAUGUUUUGAAAAGGCGUGAAAGGAAAAUGGACACAUUUUUCGCAUGUUACAGGUUCUGAUAUUAAACGAAACAUUUCUUAUGAGUACAUUUCCUAACGUGCAUAUUCAGCAGUUCACCAUGACCUGAACACAGUUACAUUUCAAAAGAAAGUUUAAAUUGAGAUUAGAAUGAAAAAGUUGUUCUAGUAGAUGUUUUUUUUUUUCUCUUCUCAGUGCUUGAAAUAUUUCCAAAGUCUUGACUUAGUCUCACCUUGCGGGUUCGAUCCUG